rnacentral:rRNA from 1 species
UGGGGAAUCUUGGACAAUGGGCGCAAGCCUGAUCCAGCCAUGCCGCGUGGAUGAUGAAGGCCUUCGGGUUGUAAAAUCCUUUCGUUGGGGACGAUAAUGACGGUACCCAAAGAAGAAGCUCCGGCUAACUUCGUGCCAGCAGCCGCGGUAAUACGAAGGGGGCUAGCGUUGUUCGGAUUUACUGGGCGUAAAGCGCGUGUAGGCGGGUCGUUAAGUCGGAGGUGAAAGCCCAGAGCUCAACUCUGGAAUUGCCUUCGAUACUGGCGACCUGGACCCAUGUAGAGGCAAGUGGAAUUGCGAGUGUAGAGGUGAAAUUCGUAGAUAUUCGCAGGAACACCAGUGGCGAAGGCGACUUGCUGGACAUGUGGUGACGCUGAGACGCGAAAGCGUGGGGAGCAAACAGG